rnacentral:rRNA from 1 species
AUUGAACGCUGGCGGCAGGCCUAACACAUGCAAGUCGAACGGUAACAGGAAGAAGCUUGCUUCUUUGCUGACGAGUGGCGGACGGGUGAGUAAUGUCUGGGAAACUGCCUGAUGGAGGGGGAUAACUACUGGAAACGGUAGCUAAUACCGCAUAACGUCGCAAGCCCAAAGAGGGGGACCUUCGGGCCUCUUGCCAUCGGAUGUGCCCAGAUGGGAUUAGCUAGUAGGUGGGGUAACGGCUCACCUAGGCGACGAUCCCUAGCUGGUCUGAGAGAAUGACCAGCGACACUGGAACUGAGACACGGUCCAGACUCCUACGGGAGGCAGCAGUGGGGAAUAUGGCACAAUGGGCGCAAGCCUGAUGCAGCCAUGCCGCGUGUAUGAAGAAGGCCUUCGGGUUGUAAAGUACUUUCAGCGGGGAGGAAGGGAGUAAAGUUAAUACCUUGGCUCAUUGACGUUACCCGCAGAAGAAGCACCGGCUAACUACGUG